GUAGGAACAACAUUGUUCAAAAUUUUAAAUCACGAGAUAUAACUAAAAUUUAAAACUUGUGUUGUCGUUGUAGUUCAUUUCUAACUAAACGACCUAUAACUUCUAACUAAACGACCUCGACUAUUUCUAUCUCGAAGUUGAACUCAACGCAGUCGUUAAAGCAUGCAAGUGCCUUCCACGGUGGUGCAGUCGUUGGAGCAAGCGUUAGGAUAAACAAAGUUAGGAAAGUAAUAUCACAAUUGUUGUACAGGUAAUAAAGAUAAAUAGUUUAACCUAAGUGUGCACUGUUAAUUUCAGGGAGUUAACUUAACUCCGGUGGAGUUAUAC